rnacentral:misc_RNA from 1 species
ACUUUCCUCUUAGACAAAACCCAACACGCUGGUACGAGCCAAUGCGAGUCAAGCAGUCAUUUUAGGAAGCAUAAACACUAAACAAGGACAUAACAAAGGAUCCCAUGAGACCCAUGCCCACAUAAAGUUCUGUAUCAAAGAGACCAAGCAAAUGUUCAAUGCGCCACUACAUCAACACACGCAUUAAUGGUGUGGUUCAAAGAGACAGCUUUUAAGGUUCAUCUAGUGUCACAAGCAUGACACAAGAAGAAAACAACUAAGAUAAGCCAAAUGAAUACCAUAUGUUAGGAAGGCAACACAAGAAACCCACCAGUUGUUUAGGCAAUUGAAACCUUAACAAGCAAAUGAAAAGGUAUGUCAGGUGGAAGUUGUUGCACAAGCAAGAGCCAACCACCAUUAACAAACC